UACGUAGGGCGCAAGCGUUGUCCGGAAUUAUUGGGCGUAAAGAGCUCGUAGGCGGUGUGUCACGUCGGCCGUGAAAACCUGCAGCUUAACUGUGGGCGUGCGGUCGAUACGGGCAUCACUGGAGUUCGGCAGGGGAGACUGGAAUUCCUGGUGUAGCGGUGGAAUGCGCAGAUAUCAGGAGGAACACCGGUGGCGAAGGCGGGUCUCUGGGCAGUAACUGACGCU
rnacentral:rRNA from 1 species